CUGAUUCUGCCAGUUUUUCCGUCAUGUUUCUCUCCUGUAUUCUUCUAACCAUUAUACUUGUGUAUGGAAAUAUAUUGGAGAACUCAGCCCCUACACUUGUGUUCUGCUUCAUGCUGUGUUACACAGUGUCAACCAUCAUGCUGAGCUUCCUUCUCUCCACUCUCUUCUCCAGG